GGGCCUAUAGCUCAGCUGGUUAGAGCACCUGACUCAUAAUCAGGGGGUCCCUGGUUCGAGCCCAGGUGGGCCCA
rnacentral:tRNA from 3 species